rnacentral:rRNA from 1 species
UGGCAAGUGGGGCGGCUACCAUGCAGUCGAGCGCGCCUUCGGGUGAGCGGCGGACGGGUUAGUAACGCGUGGGAACGUGCCCUUCUCUACGGAAUAACCUCUGGAAACGGAUAGUAAUACCGUAUACGCCCUUUGGGGGAAAGAUUUAUCGGAGAAGGAUCGGCCCGCGUUAAAUUAGGUAGUUGGGGGGGUAACGGCCUACCAAGCCUACGAUCUAUAGCUGGUUUUAAAGGAUGAUCAGCAACACUGGGACUGAAACACGGCCCAAACUCCUACGGGAGGCAGCAGUGGGGAAUCUUAGACAAUGGGGGCAACCCUGAUCUAGCCAUGCCGCGUGAGUGAUGAAGGCCUUAGGGUCGUAAAGCUUUUUCGCCUGUGAUGAUUAUGACAGUAGCAGGUAAAGAAACCCCGGCUAACUCCGUGCCAGCAGCCGCGGUAAUACGGAGGGGGUUAGCGUUGUUCGGAAUUACUGGGCGUAAAGCGCGCGUAGGCGGAUUAGAAAGUUGGGGGUGAAAUCCCGGGGCUCAACCCCGUAACUGCCUCCAAAACUGCUGGUCUAGAGUUCGAGAGAGGUGAAUGGAAUUCCCAGUGUAGAGGUGAAAUUCGUAGAUAUUCGGAAGAACACCAGUGGCGAAGGCGGUUCACUGGCUCGAUACUGACGCUGAUGUGCGAAAGUGUGGGGAGCAAACAGGAUUAGAUACCCUGGUAGUCCACACCGUAAACGAUGAAUGCCAGUCGUCGGGGAGUAUACUAUUCUGUGACACACCUAACAGAUUAAGCAUUCCCCCUGGGGAGUACGGUCGCAAGAUUGUGACUCACAGGAAUAGAGAGGGGCGCGCACACGCGCUGGAGCAUGUGGUGUUUAUUUUGAGCACCGCGCAGAACCUUAUCAACCCGUGAGAUCUUGUGCUACAUCUCCUAGAUAGAUGGAUACCGUCUUGGGGACACACUGACACAUGCUGCAUGGGGUGUCGUCACAUCUCGUCGUCGAGAUGAUGCUGUUAAACUGCACAAGAGCACACCCCAUCCCUAGUUGUCAGCAGCAUCGGCUGGGCACUUCUAUGGAAACUGCCCGUGAUUAAACCCGGAAGGAAGAUUGA